UUAGGUCAAGCUACAAAGGGCGCAUGGUGAAUGCCUUGGCAUCAGGAGCCGAUGAAGGACGCGAUAAGCUGCGAUAAGCUUCGGGUAGACGCACAUAGUCAGAGAUCCGAAGAUUUCCGAAUGAGGAAACUCACAUGGGAAACCCCAUGUAUCAUAAAGUGAAUACAUAGCUUUAUGAAGGUAUACCCAGGGAACUGAAACAUCUAAGUACCUGGAGGAAGAGAAAGAAAAAUCGAUUUUCUUAGUAGCGGCGAGCGAAAAGGAAAGAGCCCAAACCAGAGAUUUAUCUCUGGGGUUGCGGACAGAACAUAACGAGAAAUCAUAGUUAAUUGAACACAACUGGAAAGUUGGACCACAGUGGGUAAUAGUCCCGUAAGUGAAAACUAUGAUAAUCAGUUCUGCACCAGAGUACCACGAGACACGUGAAACCUUGUGGGAAGCAGGGAGGACCACCUCCCAAGGCUAAAUACUACCUGAUGACCGAUAGUGAAGCAGUACCGUGAGGGAAAGGUGAAAAGAACCCCGGGAGGGGAGUGAAAUAGAACCUGAAACCAUGUGCCUACAACCGAUCAGAGCACCUUAUGUGUGUGAUGAUGUGCUUUUUGUAGAACGAGCCAACGAGUUACGGUAUGUAGCGAGGUUAAGUACUUAAGGUACGGAGCCGAAGGGAAACCGAGUCUUAAUAGGGCGACUAGUUGCAUGCUGUAGACCCGAAACCGGGUGACCUAUCCAUGGCCAGGUUGAAGCGAGGGUAAAACCUCGUGGAGGACCGAACCACGUUGCUGUUGAAAAAGCAUGGGAUGAGCUGUGGAUAGCGGAGAAAUUCCAAUCGAACUCGGAUAUAGCUGGUUCUCCUCGAAAUAGCUUUAGGGCUAGCGUCGGAAAAUGUGAGUAGUGGAGGUAGAGCACUGAAUAGGCUAGGGGGCAUAGCGCUUACCGAACCUUAUCAAACUCCGAAUGCCACAUACUAUCAGUCCGGCAGUCAGACUAUGAAAGAUAAGUUCCAUGGUCAAAAGGGAAACAGCCCAGAUCGUCAGCUAAGGUCCCAAAGUGUAAGUUAAGUGGAAAAGGAUGUGGGAUUUCUAAGACAACUAGGAUGUUGGCUUAGAAGCAGCCACUCAUUAAAAGAGUGCGUAAUAGCUCACUAGUCAAGAGAUCCUGCGCCGAAAAUGUCCGGGGCUCAAACUUACCACCGAAGCUACGGGUUCACGCUUAUGCGUGAGCGGUAGAGGAGCGUCGUAAUCGGGCUGAAGUCGUACCGUAAGGAGCGGUGGACUGAUUACGAGUGAGAAUGUUGGCAUUAGUAGCGAGAUGUAGGCGAGAAUCCUACAGGCCGAAUAUCUAAGGUUUCCUGAGUAAAGUUUGUCUUCUCAGGGUUAGUCGGGACCUAAGGCGAGGCCGAAAGGCGUAGUCGAUGGACAAUUGGUUGAUAUUCCAAUACCACUAUAAUCGUUAUUAUCGAUGGUGUGACGGAGAAGGAUAGGAUGUGCUAGCUAUUGGAUGCUAGUCUAAGCGUUUAGGGAGUUGGGAUUGGCAAAUCCGUUCCAACAAUUCUGAGGCGUGAUGGGGAAGGUUCUACGGAACCGAAGUAUCUGAUUCCAUGCUUCCAAGAAAAGCAUCUAGAGAGAGAAGUAGUGCCCGUACCGCAAACCGACACAGGUAGAUGAGGAGAGAAUCCUAAGGCCGACGGAAGAAUUGCAGUUAAGGAACUAGGCAAAUUGACCCCGUAACUUCGGGAGAAGGGGUGCCUGAGAAAUCAGGCCGCAGAGAAUAGGCACAAGCAACUGUUUAACAAAAACACAGGUCUCUGCUAAAGCGAAAGCUGAUGUAUAGGGGCUGACGCCUGCCCGGUGCUGGAAGGUUAAGGGGAACACUUAGCGAAAUAUCGCGAAGGUGUGAACUUAAGCCCCAGUAAACGGCGGCCGUAACUAUAACGGUCCUAAGGUAGCGAAAUUCCUUGUCAGGUAAGUUCUGACCCGCACGAAUGGCGUAAUGACUUGUGCACUGUCUCAACUGCAAAUCCGGCGAAGUUGUAGUGCGAGUGAAGAUGCUCGCUACCCGCGAUUGGACGGAAAGACCCCGUAGAGCUUUACUGUAGCUUAGCAUUGAAUUUCGGUAUUGUCUGUACAGGAUAGGUGGGAGACUGGGAAACUAGGGCGUCAGCCUUGGUGGAGUCGUUGUUGGGAUACCACCCUGAUAGUAUUGAAGUUCUAACUGGAUGCCAUGAAACUGGUGACAGGACAUUGUUAGGUGGGCAGUUUGACUGGGGCGGUCGCCUCCUAAAAUGUAACGGAGGCGCCCAAAGGUUCCCUCAGAACGGUCGGAAAUCGUUCGAAGAGUGUAAAGGCAGAAGGGAGCCUGACUGCGACACCUACAAGUGGAGCAGGGACGAAAGUCGGGCUUAGUGAUCCGGUGGUACCUCGUGGGAGGGCCAUCGCUCAACGGAUAAAAGCUACCUCGGGGAUAACAGGCUGAUCUCCCCCAAGAGUUCACAUCGACGGGGAGGUUUGGCACCUCGAUGUCGGCUCGUCGCAUCCUGGGGCUGAAGUAGGUCCCAAGGGUUGGGCUGUUCGCCCAUUAA
rnacentral:rRNA from 1 species